rnacentral:rRNA from 1 species
AGUAGUCAUAUGCUGUCUCAAAGAUUAAGCCAUGCAUGUCUAAGUUCACACUGUCUCACGGUGAAACCGCGAAUGGCUCAUUAAAUCAGUCGAUGUUUAUUAGAUGAAAACUAUCCUACUCGGAUAACUGUGGCAAUUCUAGAGCUAAUACAUGCUUACCAAGCUCCGACCCUCGUGGAAAGAGCGCUUUUAUUAGUUCAAAACCAAUCGUCGUGCCCUUCGCGGGGUGCGGCGUCCCGAUUGGUGACUCUGGAUAACUUUGUGCUGAUCGCAUGGCCUUUGUGCUGGCGACGCAUCUUUCAAAUGUCUGCCCUAUCAAAUGUCGAUGGUACGUGAUAUGCCUACCAUGUUUGUAACGGGUAACGGGGAAUCAGGGUUCGAUUCCGGAGAGGGAGCAUGAGAAAG